CCAGACUCCUACGGGAGGCAGCAGUGAGGAAUAUUGGUCCAUGGUCGGGAGACUGAACCAGCCAAGCCGCGUGAGGGAGGAAGGUACAGAGUAUCGUAAACCUCUUUUGUCAGGGGACAAAGACUGGGACGCGUCCCCGGAUGAGUGUACCUGAAGAAAAAGCAUCGGCUAACUCCGUGCCAGCAGCCGCGGUAAUACGUAGGUGGCAAGCGUUGUUCGGAAUAACUGGGCGUAAAGGAUGCGUAGGCGGUUAAACAAGUUAUAUGUUAAAUAUAUAGGCUUAACCUGUAGAAAGCAUAUAAAACUGUUUAACUAGAGUGCAGGAGAGGUAAGUGGAAUUCCUAGUGUAGCGGUGAAAUGCGUAGAGAUUAGGAAGAACACCAGUGGCGAAGGCGACUUACUGGACUGUAACUGACGCUGAGGCAUGAGAGCAUGGGGAGCAAACAGGAUUAGAUACCCCAGUAA
rnacentral:rRNA from 1 species